AAGGUCCUGCCUGCCCAGUGAAAAUAUUUUUAACGGCCGCGGUAUUCUAACCGUGCAAAGGUAGCGUAAUCACUUGUCUUCUAAAUAAAGACCAGUAUGAACGGCUAAAUGAGGACAAACCUGUCUCCUGCAACUAAUCAGUGAAACUGAUCUUCCAGUCCAAAAGCUGGAAUAUUAACAUCAGACGAGAAGACCCUGUGGAGCUUAAAACAAACCUAGUAACAAAAACACACUAGAAUAAGUUUUAAGUUGGGGCGACUUCGGAACAAAACAAAACUUCCGAGCACAGAACCACCAAUUCUUACCAAGGCGAACAGGCCAAAGAAAAACCUGACCCAGUCACACUGAUCAACGAACCAAGUUACCCCAGGGAUAACAGCGCCAUCCUCUUCAAGAGUCCAUAUCGACAAGAGGGUUUACGACCUCGAUGUUGGAUCAGGGCACCCCAAUGGUGCAACCGCUAUUAAAGGUUCGUUUGUUCAACGAUUAACAGCC
rnacentral:rRNA from 1 species